rnacentral:misc_RNA from 1 species
UGGGCUUGACAUGCACGGGAAACCUGGUGGAAACACCGGGCCCUCUUCGGAGUCCGUGCACAGGUGCUGCAUGGCUGUCGUCAGCUCGUGUCGUGAGAUGUUGGGUUAAGUCCCGCAACGAGCGCAACCCCCGCGUCCAGUUGCCAGCGGCGGCUGAAUAAGCCGGCCGGGGACUCUGGAGGGACUGCCGGUGCCAAACCGGAGGAAGGUGGGGAUGACGUGAGCCUAUCGAGA